rnacentral:rRNA from 1 species
GACGAACGCUGGCGGCGUGCCUAAUACAUGCCAGUUGAGCGCUGAAGGUUGGUACUUGUACCAACUGGAUGAGCAGCGAACGGGUGAGUAACGCGUGGGGAAUCUGCCUUUGAGCGGGGGACAACAUUUGGAAACGAAUGCUAAUACCGCAUAAAAACUUUAAACACAAGUUUUAAGUUUGAAAGAUGCAAUUGCAUCACUCAAAGAUGAUCCCGCGUUGUAUUAGCUAGUUGGUGAGGUAAAGGCUCACCAAGGCGAUGAUACAUAGCCGACCUGAGAGGGUGAUCGGCCACAUUGGGACUGAGACACGGCCCAAACUCCUACGGGAGGCAGCAGUAGGGAAUCUUCGGCAAUGGACGAAAGUCUGACCGAGCAACGCCGCGUGGGUGAAGAAGGUUUUCGGAUCGUAAAACUCUGUUGGUAGAGAAGAACGUUGGUGAGAGUGGAAAGCUCAUCAAGUGACGGUAACUACCCAGAAAGGGACGGCUAACUACGUG